rnacentral:rRNA from 1 species
UACGUAGGGGGCAAGCGUUGUCCGGAUUUAUUGGGCGUAAAGCGCGUGUAGGCGGUGCCGCACGUCCGAUGUGAAAGCCCCGGGCUCACCUCGGGAAGUGCGUCGGAAACUGCGAGACUAGAAUCCCGGAGAGGGAGGUGGAAUUCCAGGUGUAGCGGUGAAAUGCGUAGAUAUCUGGAAGAACACCGGUGGCGAAGGCGGCCUCCUGGACGGUGAUUGACGCUGAGACGCGAAAGCGUGGGGAGCAAACAGG